AGUUUUCUGCCUGGCGUAAUUUUAGCCCUGGCGAUGGUUCUUAGAACCAGAAAUAAAACCUCAUUGGCUCCUUUAAAUGACCAUUGUGUGGCCAGUGAUUGAUUAAUAGAUUUUAUAAUUUUCUGCCUGGCAUAACUCUAGCCCUGGCAAUGGUUCUUAGAACCAGAAAGGAAAUCCCUCAACGGCCCUAUUUAAUGCUAGGUGGGGCCAUUGAUCUAUAAAAGAUGUUAGAGUUUUUGAAUCUCUGAGAUUGAGGGGAGGAACAAUUGCACACCUGCUGCCAAUGUUCCUCGAAAGAGUCAAAACUUGCUGGGCAUGGCAGAAGGAGAAAAAGCAAAAGAAUAAAGAAGAGAGCAUGAAAAUGUCCCACAGCACAAUCCCUGUGAUGUGGCAUCCUACACUGUGAGUUCAAAGGCAUGAAUCCAAGCUGACCUGUAGACGAAGAAGAAGACACCAACAGUAAGACAGAUGGUUUAAUUCUUAUAACUGAAAGUAAACAUGAUGAUGCUUUUUAAUGCGAGGAAUACCAAUAAAGGAGAAUAUUUAUGGCUCAAAGUUGAAAUGAGGCGUCCUUGGUGCUCUCUGAACUUGGUGGUUUUCUCGUAGAUUUUUCAUUACCCAACUAGGGAACAUCAUCAGUGCUAGUAGAAGGGAGUGUGGCUUGCUGUCAGGUUAUGUUUGAGUGGCUUCUUUCAGUGUUGUUGAAAAUCAUCUUAGCGGUUCUUUGUUGCGCUAUUUGUUGUUAGGUUAUUUGACCGUUCCUUGAUUGCGGUAUUGUUUUGUUGCCCUAGAGAUGGUUUUUAGAACCCGAAAUAAAACCUCAAUGGCCAUUUUUAAUAUUAGCUGUGGCCGUUGAUCUAGAAAAGAGGUUAGGGUUUUCUAGCUUUGCAGACUGAGUGGAGGAACGAUCGCACACCUGCUGCCAAAAGAUCCUCGAAAGAGACAAGACCUGCUAGGCACGACUGAGGAAGAAACAUAAGCAGAAGAAGAUAGAAGAGAGCAUGAAAAUGUCUCCAGCUCAAGCCCUUCGGCUGUGAUGUGGCCUCCUACACUGUGAGGCAUGUAUUCUACACCACCUUAGAAGACAGAAGACUCAGUCGUCAGCCUGCGCCGUUGAUGGAAGAAGGAAGAAUGGAACGCAAGAAUGAAUAUGAUCUCCAUCAAGAAUGCUACUUCACCAAGUCAAUCACAACUCACCUUUAGAUGCUAGAUUUUAUACCAUUCUUGCCUGCUGUAAAUUUAGCCAUGGCGAUGGUUAUUAGAACCAAAAAAACCCUCCUCAAUGGCCCUAUUUAAUCCUAGGCAUGGCUGUUGAUGGAUUAUAGAUUUUAUAGUUUUCUGCCUGGCGUAAUUCUAGCCAUGGCAAUGGUUCUUAGAACCAGAAGGAAAACCUCAUUGGCCCUUUUAAAUGACUGGUGUGGCCAGUGCUUGGUAACAGAUUUUAUAAUUUUCUGCCUGGUGUAAUUUUAGCCAUGGCAAUGGUUCUUAGAACCAGAAAGAAAACCUCAUUGGCCCCUUUAAAUGACCAUUGUGUGGCCAGUGAUUAAUAAUAGAUUUUAUAGUUUUCUGCCUGGCGUAAUUUUAGCCCUGACAAUGAUUCUUAGAACCAGAAAUGAAAUCCCUCAGUGGCCCUUUUUAAUGCUAGGUGGGGCCAUUGAUCUAUAAAAGAUGUUAGAGUUUUUGAACCUCUGAGAUUGAGGGGAGGAACAAUUGCACGCCUACUGCCAAUGUUCCUCGAAAGGGACGUGGGCAGAGGAAGAAGGAAAAGAAUGAAGAAGAAAGAAGAAAAUGAAAAUGUCUCCAGCUUAAGCCCUUCAGCUGUGAUGUGGCCUCCUACGUUGUGAGGCAUGUACUCUACACCACCUUAGAAGACAGAAGACUCAGCUGUCAGCCUGCGGCAUUGAUGGAAGAAGGAAGAAUGGAACCCAAGAAUGAAUAUGAUCUCCAUCAAGAAUGCCCCUUCACCAAGUCAAUCACAACUCACCUUUAGAUGAUAGAUUUUAGAGCAUUCUUGCCUGCUGUAAAUUUAGCCAUGGCGAUGGUUAUUAGAACCAAAAAAAACUCCUCAAUGGCCCUAUUUAAUCCUAAGUAUGGCUGUUGAUGGAUUAUAGAUUUUAUAGUUUUCUGCCUGGCGUAAUUCUAGCCCUGGCAAUGGUUCUUAGAACCAGAAGGAAAACCUCAUUGGCCCCUUUAAAUGACCAGUAUGUGGCCAGUGAUUGAUAAUAGAUUUUAUAGUUUUCUACCUGGCAUAACUCUAGCCCUGGCAAUGGUUCUUAGAACCAGAAAUGAAACCUCAUUGGCCCUUUUAAGUGACCAUUGUAUGGCCAGUGAUUAAUAAUAGAUUUUAUAGUUUUCUGCCUGGUGUAAUUUUAGCCCUGGCGAUGGUUCUUAGAACCAGAAAGGAAAUCCCUCAAUGGUCCUUUUUAAUGCUAGGUGUGGCUAUUGAUCUAUGAAAUAUUUUUGAAUCUCUGAGAUUGAGGGGAGGAACAAUUGCACGCCUGUUGCCAAAUGUUCCUUGAAAGAGACAAGACUUGCUGGGCAUGGCAGAGGAAGAAGGAAAAGAAGAGAGCAAGAAAAUGUCUCCAGCCUAACUGUUUUAACCUUCGGCUGUGAUGUGGCGUCCUACCCUGUAAGGCGUGUACACUACACCACCUUAGGAGCCAGAAGACUCAGCUGUCAGCCUGCGGCGUUGAUGGAAGAAGAAGGAAUGGAACGCAAGAAUGAAUAUGAUCUCCAUCAAGAAUGCCCCUUCACCAAAUCAAUCACAACUCACCUUUAGAUGAUAGAUUUUAUACUAUUCUGUAGUUCUUACAACUUGGAAGGGAACACAGAAGCAUUCCACAUGCCCAUCCAUCGUGUAAAUAAUAGUGAUGACUUAUUUGUAGAGGUCUUUCAGUCCCUGAGCUUCGUCUGUGUGACACUCACACUGAAUGGUCUCUCUGGAACAAUGGAGGGAGGGGCAUCACAAGGGCAUCUUCACAAAGACAGCUUGACUCGCAACUCAAACAAAAGAGGAGUAGCAAGGCCAGAGCAGGAGCAGUUUAUGCUGUGACCUGGGGGGGCGCACAGACAAACAUCAAGGCUGA